rnacentral:rRNA from 1 species
UAGAGACGAGAGAGUUUGAUCCUGGCUCAGAACGAACGCUGGCGGCAGGCCUAACACAUGCAAGUCGAACGCACCUUCGGGUGAGUGGCGCACGGGUGGGUAACGCGUGGGAACGUGCCCUUUGGUUCGGAAUAACCCCGGGAAACUGGGGCUAAUACCGGAUAUCUCCUUCGGGAGAAAGAUUUAUCGCCAAAGGAUCGGCCCGCGUAGGAUUAGCUAGUUGGUGGGGUAAUGGCCUACCAAGGCGACGAUCCUUAGCUGGUCUGAGAGGAUGAUCAGCCACACUGGGACUGAGACACGGCCCAGACUCCUACGGGAGGCAGCAGUGGGGAAUAUUGGACAAUGGGCGCAAGCCUGAUCCAGCCAUGCCGCGUGAGUGAUGAAGGCCUUCGGGUUGUAAAGCUCUUUCGACGGGGACGAUGAUGACGGUACCCGUAGAAGAAGCCCCGGCUAACUUCGUGCCAGCCGCCGCGG